UACGUAGGGAGCAAGCGUUGUCCGGAAUCAUUGGGCGUAAAGCGCGCGUAGGUGGCCCAGUAAGUCCGUUCUGAAAGUCACAGGCUCAACCUGUGAAAGCGGAUGGAUACUGCUGGGCUAGAGUCCGGAAGAGGCGAGUGGAAUUCCUGGUGUAGCGGUGGAAUGCGCAGAUAUCAGGAGGAACACCAACGGCGAAGGCAGCUCGCUGGGACGGUACUGACACUGAGGCGCGAAAGCCAGGGGAGCGAACGGGG
rnacentral:rRNA from 1 species